AUUGAACGCUGGCGGCAUGCCUUACACAUGCAAGUCGAACGGCAGCACGGGAGCAAUCCUGGUGGCGAGUGGCGAACGGGUGAGUAAUAUAUCGGAACGUGCCCGGUCGUGGGGAUAACGUAGCGAAAGCUACGCUAAUACCGCAUACGAUCUACGGAUGAAAGCGGGGGAUCGCAAGACCUCGCGCGAUUGGAGCGGCCGAUAUCAGAUUAGGUAGUUGGUGAGGUAAAGGCUCACCAAGCCAACGAUCUGUAGCUGGUCUGAGAGGACGACCAGCCACACUGGAACUGAGACACGGUCCAGACUCCUACGGGAGGCAGCAGUGGGGAAUUUUGGACAAUGGACGCAAGUCUGAUCCAGCCAUUCCGCGUGCAGGAUGAAGGCCCUCGGGUUGUAAACUGCUUUUGUACGGAACGAAACGGUGAGCUCUAAUACAGUUUGCUAAUGACGGUACCGUAAGAAUAAGGAUCGGCUAACUCCGUG
rnacentral:rRNA from 1 species